AUAUAAUGUGUAAAACAGUAUCUAGUUCCUGUAGCGAUAUUUUAGCUGCGCUCGUAAUUUGAAAUAUCUCAAUAUCGAAAUGUUUAUAGUUACCCGCGCAAAUUGCCUAUUUUUGUGGCCGCCAUGACGAUUUUUCCUUCUAUCAGUUUGGAGUGCAAAGCACGAACGCUUCGUGAUAAUUGCGUAUUUUUUCCGUUAAUAGUGCAUUAUUGUGUAAAUUUUUGUUGGAAGUAUCGAGUAAAGUGACGGGUGAUUGCCGGUACGUAUUAUAUAUGGUGAGUGUGUGCAAGUAAUUGCGUUUCGUCGAUCGCUAAAUACUACGAAUGUAGCUUUGCGCAAUGGGCUGAAGUAGGUACUGGUACAAUUUCAUUCAUCGGAAUGGCAUCGGAGAAAAAUACAGUUGUGUUGUGUGUGUUCUGUAUGUAACGACCGCCGCGUAAUCUCCAAGGUCGUUAUAUGUUGGCUCGAAAUGUGUGCAUAACGGCGGGUGGACUGCCGAAGUUGUAAACAAUUAUGUACGCGAUUGCGUUGCAGUUUUCGUUUUACUUCGCGUUUUGUGUACCGUGGCGUGGCAAAUUCGCGACGUGAAUCCAUGAUUUUCGUAUUUUUUUAAAAGUGAAAAGUGCGGGUUAACUUUUGUCCGACAGUCAACGUAAUUAAUUAAGUUUUUUGAUCAUGGAGCUGAUACAGAGUAGUCUAAAAUGGAACCUACCAAAGAUGAAGCAAACUACAAUACCCUAGUGGGUGUAGCUGAAAACGUACUUAACUAGGGUACAACGACUGAGUGAGUAAUAUUCUUUUUAUUAUAUUUACAUAAUCACAUACAAAAUACUGAUAUCAUUCGCUGCUUGUCAUUCAUGCAACGAAUAAUUAUUAUAUAA